rnacentral:rRNA from 1 species
GUGUAGGUGUGUGUUCCAGGUAAAUCCGGUUCACUUUAACACUGAGGCGUGAUGACGAGGCACUACGGUGCUGAAGCAACAAAUGCCCUGCUUCCAGGAAAAGCCUCUAAGCAUCAGGUAACAUCAAAUCGUACCCCAAACCGACACAGGUGGUCAGGUAGAGAAUACCAAGGCGCUUGAGAGAACUCGGGUGAAGGAACUAGGCAAAAUGGUGCCGUAACUUCGGGAGAAGGCACGCUGACACGUAGGUGAAGUGAUUUACUCAUGGAGCUGAAGUCAGUCGAAGAUACCAGCUGGCUGCAACUGUUUAUUAAAAACACAGCACUGUGCAAACACGAAAGUGGACGUAUACGGUGUGACGCCUGCCCGGUGCCGGAAGGUUAAUUGAUGGGGUCAGCGCAAGCGAAGCUCCUGAUCGAAGCCCCGGUAAACGGCGGCCGUAACUAUAACGGUCCUAAGGUAGCGAAAUUCCUUGUCGGGUAAGUUCCGACCUGCACGAAUGGCGUAAUGAUGGCCAGGCUGUCUCCACCCGAGACUCAGUGAAAUUGAACUCGCUGUGAAGAUGCAGUGUACCCGCGGCAAGACGGAAAGACCCCGUGAACCUUUACUAUAGCUUGACACUGAACAUUGAGCCUUGAUGUGUAGGAUAGGUGGGAGGCUUUGAAGUGUGGACGCCAGUCUGCAUGGAGCCGGCCUUGAAAUACCACCCUUUAAUGUUUGAUGUUCUAACGUGGACCCGUGAUCCGGGUUGCGGACAGUGUCUGGUGGGUAGUUUGACUGGGGCGGUCUCCUCCUAAAGAGUAACGGAGGAGCACGAAGGUUGGCUAAUCCUGGUCGGACAUCAGGAGGUUAGUGCAAUGGCAUAAGCCAGCUUGACUGCGAGCGUGACGGCGCGAGCAGGUGCGAAAGCAGGUCAUAGUGAUCCGGUGGUUCUGAAUGGAAGGGCCAUCGCUCAACGGAUAAAAGGUACUCCGGGGAUAACAGGCUGAUACCGCCCAAGAGUUCAUAUCGACGGCGGUGUUUGGCACCUCGAUGUCGGCUCAUCACAUCCUGGGGCUGAAGUAGGUCCCAAGGGUAUGGCUGUUCGCCAUUUAAAGUGGUACGCGAGCUGGGUUUAGAACGUCGUGAGACAGUUCGGUCCCUAUCUGCCGUGGGCGCUGGAGAACUGAGGGGGGCUGCUCCUAGUACGAGAGGACCGGAGUGGACGCAUCACUGGUGUUCGGGUUGUCAUGCCAAUGGCACUGCCCGGUAGCUAAAUGCGGAAGAGAUAAGUGCUGAAAGCAUCUAAGCACGAAACUUGCCCCGAGAUGAGUUCUCCCUGAGACUUAGAGUCUCCUGAAGGAACGUUGAAGACGACGACGUUGAUAGGCCGGGUGUGUAAGCGCAGCGAUGCGUUGAGCUAACCGGUACUAAUGAACCGUGAGGCUUAACCUUACA